UUGGAGGGCAAGUCUGGUGCCAGCAGCCGCGGUAAUUCCAGCUCCAAUAGCGUAUAUUAAAGUUGUUGCAGUUAAAAAGCUCGUAGUUGAAUUUCGGGAUUUAUCCGUCGGUCGGGCUUUUGGGUCUGUACUGGCGUGAUGGAUUCCUACCUUCUGAAUAACCGGCAUGUCAUUAAUUUGGUGCGCUGGGGAAGCAGGACUGUUACCUUGAAAAAAUUAGAGUGCUUAAAGCAGGCUAUUGCCUGAAUACAUUAGCAUGGAAUAAUGAAAUAGGACGGCAUGGUUCUAUUUUGUUGGUUUCUAGGAUCACCGUAAUGAUUAAUAGGGAUAGUUGGGGGCAUUAGUAUUCAAUUGUCAGAGGUGAAAUUCUUGGAUUUAUUGAAGACUAACUUCUGCGAAAAGCAUUUUGCCAAGGACGUUUCUUAUAAUUACUAAGAAACGAAAAGUUAAAGGGGUAAGGUACGAAGGAACGGAAGUACAGAAGUAACCGUUACCCGUAGGUUACGUUAACCUUAAACUAAAACUUAAAACUUAGUCCGACCCGUAACGGGUAAGGUACGGUACCGGAACGUAG
rnacentral:rRNA from 1 species